rnacentral:rRNA from 1 species
GGCAGACGGGUGAGUAACAUGUAGGUAUCUGCCCUUUGGCCUGGAAUAACACGAGGAAACUUGUGCUAAUACCGGAUAAGUCUUUACAGAGAAAGCUUUAUGCACCAUUGGAUGAGCCUGCACUUGAUUAGUUUGUUGGUGGGGUAAUGGCCUACCAAGACUUUGAUCAAUAGCUGAUUUGAGAGGAUGAUCAGCCACAUUGGGACUGAGACACGGCCCAAACUCCUACGGGAGGCAGCAGUGGGGAAUCUUGCACAAUGGAGGAAACUCUGAUGCAGCGAUGCCGCGUGAGUGAAGAAGGCCUUUGGGUUGUAAAGCUCUUUCGUCGGGGAAGAAAAUGUCUGUACCCGAAUAAGAAGGUCCGGCUAACUUCGUGCCAGCAGCCGCGGUAAUACGAAGGGACCUAGCGUAGUUCGGAAUUACUGGGCUUAAAGAGUUCGUAGGUGGUUGAAAAAGUUGGUGGUGAAAUCCCAGAGCUUAACUCUGGAACUGCCAUCAAAACUUUUCAGCUAGAGUUUGAUAGAGGAAAGCAGAAUUUCUAGUGUAGAGGUGAAAUUCGUAGAUAUUAGAAAGAAUACCAAUUGCGAAGGCGGCUUUCUGGAUCAUUACUGACACUGGGGAACGAAAGCAUGGGUAGCGAAGAGGAUUAGAUACCCUCGUAGUCCAUGCCGUAAACGAUGUGUGUUAGACGUUGGAAAUUUAUUUUCAGUGUCGCAGCGAAAGCGAUAAACACAC